rnacentral:snoRNA from 1 species
AACAACUGUAACAGAUAGGAGAAAAAUUGAGUUGAACCUCUUUCUUAAGUCUAGAGUACAUUGUUCUAAGAUUUGGUACA